rnacentral:lncRNA from 1 species
GAGUGGAAGAUGUUGGGGGAUGAAAUGCAAUGGGCUGGAUAAAAGCAGGCUCACUAGAUGCGGAGGGCCUGGAUUGGAGCUGAGUCCUAAUGGCAUCCAGUUGGGACAAGACCCCCCUCAAAGAAACAUGGAGCCCCUCAAGAUCAGAAGAGACAAAGUCCCUCGAGUCUCUGAUAUCUACUCGGAUCAGCUCAAGUGUAGAAUGAAGCAGGCUGUGAAGUCUCUUUAUCUCUCGAGCCAAAUCAGCCAACUGAGGUGAAGAGGUGCUUGAAGUGCUCGUUCCUGUCGAUAGAGAAUCCAAUAUUAAUCUGAUCUCCCUC